rnacentral:rRNA from 1 species
AUUGAACGCUAGCGGGAUGCUUUACACAUGCAAGUCGAACGCGUGGCGGACGGGUGAGUAAUAUAUCGGAACGUGCCCAGUAGCGGGGGCUAACUACUCGAAAGAGUGGUUAAUACUGCAUACUAUUGGAGCGGCCUAUAUCGGCUUAGCAGGUUGGUGGGGUAAAGGCUCACCAAGGCGACGAUCCAUAGCUGGUUUGAGAGGAAGACCAGCCACACUGAGACUGGGACACGGCCCAGACUCCUACGUGAGGCAGCAGUGGGGAAUGUUGGACAAUGGGCGAAACCGUGGUCCAGCCAACCGGCGUAUAUGAGAGGGCCAUCGGGUUGUAAAGGACUUUUGGCAGAGAAGCGGUAUCUGAAGAAUAAGCACCGGCUAACUACGUGCCAGCAGCCGCGGUAAUUC